GUGGGGAAUAUUGGACAAUGGGCGAAAGCCUGAUCCAGCCAUGCCGCGUGUGUGAAGAAGGUCUACGGAUUGUAAAGCACUUUAAGUUGGGAGGAAGGGCAGUAAGUUAAUACCUUGCUGUUUUGACGUUACCGACAGAAUAAGCACCGGCUAACUUCGUGCCAGCAGCCGCGGUAAUACGAAGGGUGCAAGCGUUAAUCGGAAUUACUGGGCGUAAAGCGCGCGUAGGUGGUUUUGUAAGUUGGAGGUGAAAUCCCCGGGCUCAACCUGGGAACUGCCUCCAAAACUGCAUGACUAGAGUACGGUAGAGGGUAGUGGAAUUUCCUGUGUAGCGGUGAAAUGCGUAGAUAUAGGAAGGAACACCAGUGGCGAAGGCGACUACCUGGACUGAUACUGACACUGAGGUGCGAAAGCGUGGGGAGCAAACAGGAUUAGAAACCCUUGUAGUCC
rnacentral:rRNA from 1 species